rnacentral:rRNA from 1 species
GACGAACGCUGGCGGCGUGCCUAAUACAUGCAAGUAGAACGCUGAAGCUUGGUGCUUGCACCGAGCGGCUGAGUUGCGAACGGGUGAGUAACGCGUAGGUAACCUGCCUGGUAGCGGGGGAUAACUAUUGGAAACGAUAGCUAAUACCGCAUAAGAGUAGAUGUUGCAUGACAUUUGCUUAAAAGGUGCAAUUGCAUCACUACCAGAUGGACCUGCGUUGUAUUAGCUAGUUGGUGAGGUAACGGCUCACCAAGGCAACGAUACAUAGCCGACCUGAGAGGGUGAUCGGCCACACUGGGACUGAGACACGGCCCAGACUCCUACGGGAGGCAGCAGUAGGGAAUCUUCGGCAAUGGACGGAAGUCUGACCGAGCAACGCCGCGUGAGUGAAGAAGGUUUUCGGAUCGUAAAGCUCUGUUGUAAGAGAAGAACGAGUGUGAGAGUGGAAAGUUCACACUGUGACGGUAUCUUACCAGAAAGGGACGGCUAACUACGUG